UAGUAUGUUGAAGAAGUUUGGCAGUAAGUAGCUAUUGCAAUUUUGCAUCAAAUUUCAAACUUCAGUGUUUUAGUUUUAUUUUAUAAAAUGAAACACUUCAGCACCAAAAAGUUCCGUUUGAUUCAAAGUACAACACAAAUGAUUCCAAAAUAGAAAUCUUUAGUCACCAAAAGUGAUCAUGAUUAUUCCAGAAAGCACUAAAAUUUAAUAAAAGGGUAAAAAUACUAGACCUCCUCAUCCACGAACACUCACUCAUUUGAAGUUAACAUUGGCCCCACAAUCAUAA
rnacentral:misc_RNA from 1 species